rnacentral:rRNA from 1 species
UGGGGAAUAUUGCACAAUGGGCGCAAGCCUGAUGCAGCCAUGCCGCGUGUGUGAAGAAGGCCUUCGGGUUGUAAAGCACUUUCAGCGGGGAGGAAGGCGAUAAGGUUAAUAACCUUGUCGAUUGACGUUACCCGCAGAAGAAGCACCGGCUAACUCCGUGCCAGCAGCCGCGGUAAUACGGAGGGUGCAAGCGUUAAUCGGAAUUACUGGGCGUAAAGCGCACGCAGGCGGUCUGUCAAGUCGGAUGUGAAAUCCCCGGGCUUAACCUGGGAACUGCAUUCGAAACUGGCAGGCUAGAGUCUUGUUGAGGGGGGUAGAAUUCCAGGUGUAGCGGUGAAAUGCGUAGAGAUCUGGAGGAAUACCGGUGGCGAAGGCGGCCCCCUGGACAAAGACUGACGCUCAGGUGCGAAAGCGUGGGGAGCAAACAGG